rnacentral:rRNA from 1 species
ACAUGCAAGUCGAACGAGUAAGACGCCUUCGGGCGUGCAUAGAGUGGCGAACGGGUGAGUAACACGUGACCAACCUGCCCCCUCCUCCGGGACAACCUCGGGAAACCGAGGCUAAUACCGGAUACUCCGGGCCCCCCGCAUGGGGGGCCCGGGAAAGCCCUGGCGGGAGGGGAUGGGGUCGCGGCCCAUCAGGUAGACGGCGGGGUAACGGCCCACCGUGCCUACUACGGGUAGCCGGGCUGAGAGGCCGAUCGGCCACAUUGGGACUGAGACACGGCCCAGACUCCUACGGGAGGCAGCAGUGGGGAAUUUUGCGCAAUGGGGGCAACCCUGACGCAGCGACGCCGCGUGCGGGACGAAGUCAUUCGUGACGUAAACCGCUUUCAGCGAGGAAGAACCAUGACGGUACUCGCAGAAGAAGCCCCGGCUAACUACGUGCCAGCAGCCGCGGUAAUACGUAGGGGGCGAGCGUUAUCCGGAAUCAUUGGGCGUAAAGCGCGCGCAGGCGGGCUUUCAAGCGGCGGCGUCGAAGCCGGGGGCUCAACCCCCGGAAGCGCCCCGAACUGGAAGCCUCGGAUGCSGCAGGGGGAGGCGGAAUUCCCGGUGUAGCGGUGAAAUGCGCAGAUAUCGGGAAGAACACCGACGGCGAAGGCAGCCUCCUGGGCCGGCAUCGACGCUGAGGCGCGAAAGCUGGGGGAGCGAACAGGAUUAGAUACCCUGGUAGUCCCAGCCGUAAACGAUGGACGCUAGGUGUGGGGGAGACAUCU